rnacentral:rRNA from 1 species
CCUACGGGGGGCUGCAGUCGAGAAUCUUUCACAAUGGGGGCAACCCUGAUGGAGCGACGCCGCGUGGAGGAUAAGGUCUUCGGAUUGUAAACUCCUGUCAUGCGAGAACAAGGUUGCAGGGCUAACACCUUUGCAAAUUGAUGGUACCGCAAGAGGAAGAGACGGCUAACUAUGUGCCAGCAGCCGCGGUAAUACAGAGGUGUCAAGCGUUGUUCGGAAUCACUGGUAGUAAAGGUGGCGUAGGAGACGUUAAAGCCCGGGGCUCAACCUAGGAAUUGCAUCCGCUACUGCCAUGCUGGAGUACUGAAGAGGUGACUAGAAUUCUAGGUGUAGCAGUGAAAUGCGUAGAUAUCUAGAGGAAUACCAACGGCGAAGGCAGGUCACUGGGCAGUUACUGACACUGAGGCACGAAGGCCAGGGGAGCAAACGGGAUUAGAUACCCCUGUAGUC